rnacentral:rRNA from 1 species
UACAGAGGGUGCAAGCGUUGCUCGGAUUUACUGGGCGUAAAGCGUGCGCAGGCGGUUCGUUGUGUCGGCGGUGAAAUCCCCGGGCUUAACCUGGGAAUGGCAUUGGUGACUGCACGGCUAGAGUGUGUCAGAGGGGGGUAGAAUUCCACGUGUAGCAGUGAAAUGCGUAGAGAUGUGGAGGAACACCGAUGGCGAAGGCAGCCCCUGGGUCAAGAUUGACGCUCGAUGACACGAAAGCCGUGGGGAGCAAACAGGA